GAUGAACGCUGGCGGCGUGCCUAAUACAUGCAAGUCGAGCGAACAGACGAGGAGCUUGCUCCUUUGACGUUAGCGGCGGACGGGUGAGUAACACGUGGGUAACCUACCUAUAAGACUGGGAUAACUUCGGGAAACCGGAGCUAAUACCGGAUAAUAUUUCGAACCGCAUGGUUCGAUAGUGAAAGAUGGCUUUGCUAUCACUUACAGAUGGACCUGCGCCGUAUUAGCUAGUUGGUAAGGUAACGGCUUACCAAGGCAACGAUACGUAGCCGACCUGAGAGGGUGAUCGGCCACACUGGAACUGAGACACGGUCCAGACUCCUACGGGAGGCAGCAGUAGGGAAUCUUCCGCAAUGGGCGAAAGCCUGACGGAGCAACGCCGCGUGAGUGAUGAAGGUCUUCGGAUCGUAAAACUCUGUUAUUAGGGAAGAAUAAACGUGUAAGUAACUGUGCACGUCUUGACGGUACCUAUUCAGAAAGCCACGGCUAACUACGUG
rnacentral:rRNA from 1 species